GCUAUCGGGGUUCGAUUAAGCCAUGCGAGUCGAGAGGUGCAAGACCUCGGCGCACUGCUCAGUAACACGUGGAUAACCUACCCUCAGGAGGGGGAUAACCCCGGGAAACUGGGGAUAAUACCCCAUAGAUCAGGGACGCUGGAAUGCCCCCUGAUUCAAAGGUCCGCCGCCUGAGGAUGGGUCUGCGGCCGAUUAGGUUGUUGUUGGGGUAACGGCCCAACAAGCCAUUGAUCGGUACGGGUUGUGAGAGCAAGAGCCCGGAGAUGGAUUCUGAGACACGAAUCCAGGCCCUACGGGGCGCAGCAGGCGCGAAAACUUUACAAUGCGAGAAAUCGUGAUAAGGGAACCCCGAGUGCCCGUAAAUUCGGGCUGUCCGCCAGUGUAAAUAACUGGUGAAGAAAGGGCCGGGCAAGACCGGUGCCAGCCGCCGCGGUAAUACCGGCGGCUCGAGUGGUGGCCACUAUUACUGGGCUUAAAGCGUCCGUAGCUGGAUUGUUAAGUCUCUUGGGAAAUCCACCGGCUCAACCGAUGGGCGUUCAGGAGAAACUGGCAAUCUAGGGACCGGGAGAGGUGAGAGGUACUUCGGGGGUAGGAGUGAAAUCCUGUAAUCCUCGAGGGACCACCUGUGGCGAAGGCGCCUCACCAGAACGGCUUCGACAGUGAGGGACGAAAGCUGGGGGAGCAAACCGGAUU
rnacentral:rRNA from 1 species